rnacentral:rRNA from 1 species
AUUGAACGCUGGCGGCAGGCCUAACACAUGCAAGUCGAGCGGAGCGGCGGACGGGUGAGUAAUGCCUAGGAAUCUGCCUGGUCGUGGGGGAUAACGUCCGGAAACGGGCGCUAAUACCGCAUACUAUCAGAUGAGCCUAGGUCGGAUUAGCUAGUUGGUGGGGGAAAGGCCUACCAAGGCGAUGAUCCGUAACUGGUCUGAGAGGAUGAUCAGUCAAACUGGAACUGAGACACGGUCCAGACUCCUACGGAAGGCAGAGGGGGGAAAUAUUGGACAAGGGGCGAAAGCCUGAACCAGCCAUGCCGCGUGUGUGAAGAAGGUCUUGGGAUUGUAAAGCACUUUAAGUUGGGAGGCGUUACCAACAGAAUAAGCACCGGCUAACUUCGUGCCAGCCGCCGCGUAAUUC